CCUACGGGCGGCAGCAGUGAGGAAUAUUGGUCAAUGGACGCGAGCCUGAACCAGCCAAGUAGCGUGAAGGAUGACUGCCCUACGGGUUGUAAACUUCUUUUAUAAAGGAAUAAAGCGCGGCACGUGCGCCUUUUUGCAUGUACUUUAUGAAUAAGGAUCGGCUAACUCCGUGCCAGCAGCCGCGGUAAUACGGAGGAUCCGAGCGUUAUCCGGAUUUAUUGGGUUUAAAGGGAGCGUAGAUGGGUUGUUAAGUCAGUUGUGAAAGGUUGCGGCUCAACCGUAAAAUUGCAAUUGAUACUGGCAGUCUUGAGUACAGUUGAGGCAGGCGGAAUUCGUGGUGUAGCGGUGAAAUGCUUAGAUAUCACGAAGAACCCCGAUUGCGAAGGCAGCUUACUAAACUGUGACUGACAUUGAUGCUCGAAAGUGUGGGUAUCAAACAGGAUUAGAUACCCCUGUAGUC
rnacentral:rRNA from 1 species